AUGGCGCCUCGCGCCGGCGGUCAGACCUACGGCUUCCCGAUCUACUGCGCCUCCUGGCUCCCACUCGCACACAUCAUCAAGCCCUCCCCAUCCGCCGACGACGUCGUGGAUGCGGACGCGUCCCCGGCCCCGUCCUCCCCACCUCCGCCCCCCAUGGUGGUUCUUGGUGGAGGCGGAGGCGAGGGCCGGAGCGGCGUGCCCAACGCGCUGGUCGUCGCCGCCCUCGACCCCGCCGCUGCAGGGGCGCCUCCAGCGCUCUCCCCCGAGCCCGUGUUUAGGCUGGGGACAGAGGAGCAGGUACCAUACAGGAUGGCCGUACACCCCCGCGGCGAUGGCGUCCUCUGCGCCUUCCCCAACGGCUGCAGGUUGGUGCGGUGGGAAUCACCAGAAGGAGAUGAUCCACAUAGCCUAGUUUUGAGAUCUGACCAGGAGGCUCUAGUGAAGCUAAAUGAUGUUGGUUUACAGUUGGCUGUGUCAUUUAGUGGAGAGGGUUCAAUACUUGCCACUGGUGGCGAGGAUGGACAUUUGAGGGUCUUCAAAUGGCCUGGCAUGGAAACCGUUAUUGAAGAACCUGAUGCUAAAACAUCUGUUAAGGAUCUUAGUUUCAGUUCCGAUGAGAUGUUUCUAGUUGUGAACAGGAGCAGUGGCCCAUCUAGAGUUUGGGAUUUAAAGUCAUCUGAAGCUGUGGCUAAUCUGCCAAGAGAACAAGGAGAAAUAUUUGGCUUCUGCCGAUUUUCUACUAAGUCUGACAAUAGUCAGAUUCUCUUUGUUACAGCAAUGCAAGGUGAUUACGGCAAAAUAAUAUCUUGGAAUACAACCUCAUGGACAAGAAUUGGAUCAAAGAAAGUAACCCGUGAUGCGAUUUCAGCUUUUUCAGUCUCGCCUGAUGGUACACUUCUAGCAAUUGGAACUAUUGAGGGAAGCAUCAGUGUUCUAGGUCCAAGAGACAUGCGAGUGGUUCUAACAGUUAAAAAGGCGCAUCUUGGCAUUGUUACUACAUUAGCGUUUUCUCAAGAUUCAAGGGCCUUGCUGUCGACUUCCUUUGACUCAACUACAAGGGUGACAUCGACUGAAUCACCCAAGAGCGAUGGUAUAAGCCUCUGGUCCAUGGUACUAGCUAUUAUACUCGGAAUUUUGGUAUAUUACUAUAUGCAGCACAAAGAAGAUCUCUUAGCAAUGUUGCCACAAUGA
rnacentral:rRNA from 1 species